rnacentral:rRNA from 1 species
UACGUAGGGGGCAAGCGUUGUCCGGAUUUAUUGGGCGUAAAGCGCGCGUAGGCGGCGCGGUAUGUCGUGCGUGAAAUCUCCCGGCUUAACUGGGAGGGGCCGUGCGAAACUGCCGGGCUUGAGGUCGGAAGGGGAAAGUGGAAUUCCGGGUGUAGUGGUGGAAUACGUAGAUAUCCGGAGGAACACCAGCGGCGAAGGCGGCUUCUGGUCCGAUACUGACGCUGAGGUGCGAAAGCGUGGGGAGCGAUCCG